rnacentral:rRNA from 1 species
CUGGGCUUGACAUCCCCCUGACGCGGCCGUAACGGGCCGUUUCCUUUGGGACAGGGGAGACAGGUGGUGCAUGGUUGUCGUCAGCUCGUGUCGUGAGAUGUUGGGUUAAGUCCCGCAACGAGCGCAACCCUUAUCCUUAGUAGCCAGCAGUAAGAUGGGAACUCUAGGGAGACUGCCGGGGACAACCCGGAGGAAGGUGGGGAUGACGUCAAAUCAUCAUGCCCCUUAUGUCCAGGGCUACACACGUGCUACAAUGGCGUAAACAGAGGGAGGCGAGCCCGCGAGGGGGAGCAAAUCCCAAAAAUAACGUCCCAGUUCGGAUUGUAGUCUGCAACCCGACUACAUGAAGCCGGAAUCGCUAGUAAUCGCGGAUCAGAAUGCCGCGGUGAAUACGUUCCC